rnacentral:misc_RNA from 1 species
GGGAUUGAGAUGUUUUUUUUUCUCGAUUUAUGCAUGUUAUCCUUGCAUGCGGGGUCGUGCUAAUUUUCUCUGUAUCAUUCCAAUUUAAGCCAAAGUGUAAGCCACUAGGUUUUGGAUUUUGAAUUCAUUAGGUAGAUUGGAUAGGAGUUUUUCAUUUAUCUGUGUUUCAAAGGUCUUGUGAGUCUGUAAGUUGUACUAUCCUAUUAU